rnacentral:rRNA from 1 species
GGAUGAAUGCUGGCGGCGUGCCUAAUACAUGCAAGUCGAGCGAACGGACGAGGAGCUUGCUCCUUUGACGUUAGCGGCGGACGGGUGAGUAACACGUGGAUAACCUACCUAUAAGACUGGGAUAACUUCGGGAAACCGGAGCUAAUACCGGAUAAUAUAUUGAACCGCAUGGUUCAAUAGUGAAAGACGGUUUUGCUGUCACUUAUAGAUGGAUCCGCGCCGCAUUAGCUAGUUGGUAAGGUAACGGCUUACCAAGGCAACGAUGCGUAGCCGACCUGAGAGGGUGAUCGGCCACACUGGAACUGAGACACGGUCCAGACUCCUACGGGAGGCAGCAGUAGGGAAUCUUCCGCAAUGGGCGAAAGCCUGACGGAGCAACGCCGCGUGAGUGAUGAAGGUCUUCGGAUCGUAAAACUCUGUUAUUAGGGAAGAACAAAUGUGUAAGUAACUAUGCACGUCUUGACGGUACCUAAUCAGAAAGCCACGGCUAACUACGUG